ACAUUGGUGGUUCAGUGGUAGAAUUCUCUCCUUCCAUUCGAGAGGCCCAGGUUUGAUUCCCAGCCAGUGCA
rnacentral:tRNA from 1 species